rnacentral:rRNA from 1 species
AGCCUGGCCCACUGAUUUGUUUUAAAGGGCCGCGGUAUAUUGACCGUGCGAAGGUAGCAUAAUCAUUAGUCUUUUAAUUGGAGGCUUGUAUGAAUGGUUGGACAAAAAGUAAGCUGUCUCGGUUAUAAUAAUUGAACUUAACUUUUAAGUGAAAAGGCUUAAAUGUUUCAGGGGGACGAUAAGACCCUAUAAAGCUUGACAAUAAUUUCGUUAUAUUAUAAAUUGUUAGUAUAACUUGAUUUUAACGGGAGUUUGUUUCGUUGGGGCGACGGGAAUAUAAUAAAUAACUGUUCUUUUAAAUAUAAUUACAAAAAUACUUGGUAAAUAAUUGAUCCUCUAUUAAAGAUUAAAAGAUUAAGUUACUUUAGGGAUAACAGCGUAAUCUUCUUUGAGAGUCCACAUCGACAAGAAGGUUUGCGACCUCGAUGUUGAAUUAAGGUAUCCUUAUAAUGCAGCAGUUAUAAAGG